rnacentral:ncRNA from 1 species
UUUUUUAAAAUCAUUAUAUUUUGUAUAAUCGUGAAAUGUUGGUUCACAAGUCUCUACCUUGCUCCGUUCGUGCAAGACUACAAAAUAGAAUACUUCUUUU